AAUAAUGGUAGAACCGAGGAAGCUGGUGCUUUCGGAAGAGGUUUGCUUGUUUUUAUUUCUGUUGGUUUAAUAUUUGGUGUAAUAAGAAGUUUAAGCCAAAGUUAAUGGUGUGACAAGGAGAUCCCCGGCCACAAUCCAAUUGACAUAGGAGGAUGGAGGCUAAAUAAACCCAGAAGGACGCUGAAUCUUUGCUUAAGGAUCGAUGAGAGAGCGAGACCGAAGGACAAAAUAAAGCAAAUAAGGAGGAUCUUUUUGAAGCGCAGUCCAGACAGGCUCUGCUUUUAAUGUUCCUGCUGAAACAAACAUUUUCAUGAAGCCCUCCUGCAACAGCACCAGUGGAUUCAGCCUGCACAUCAUAAAUUCUAAGUUUUUAAAACAUUGUCAGAUAUGAACAAGAAAAGAAGAAUUUCAGAUGGAUCCAGGAUGUCUGAGAUGAUGAAGGUUGAAGCAGAUCAGCCUGGAGGGCUCAGCUUGGUGUCUCCCAUACCUGCAGCAUCGUCAUCAGAAUCUGAGCAGAAACAAGACAGCAAAACUCUUAUGUUACGUGAAGAUGUCCAACAGCACACUGUAAUCAAAGAAGAGGUUUCCUGGAACACUACUUUAGACCAGCACAGUUCAGAGCCUGAGCAGAUAAAAGUGGAAGAGGAAGAACUCCGGAUCAGUCAGGAGGAAAAACAGCAUAAUGAGGAACUGGGUACAGAUAUCAAUGAAUUCCCCUUUACAGUUGUUACUGUGAAAAGUGAAGUUAAUGAAGAAAAGCCUCAGAUCUCAGAGCUUAUUCAAAUUAAAACUGAAGACAGCAGAAAACCAGAACUUCCAACCAGGAAGUCAACCGAAGAGGUAAAAACAGAAAGAGAGGAAAAGAACAAUGAGGGACCACAACCCACUAAAGAUCCAGCUCAACUUAGUCAUUCACUACCAAAGACAUAUGAAAAGACUUUAGACUCGUCCAACUCUACUGAAACUGAAGCCAGUGAUGAUGAAUAUUGGCAGAAAUCUUCUGAUUCUGAACCUGAAACUGGAGAUGAAGAUGGAGAUGGAGAUCCAUCUGCACCAGUAUCAGCUGAAAUUGAUACUCUAAGCGGGAACUCUGUAAAAAUCACCUUCAGCUGCUCUGUGUGUAAUAAGCAGUUUGGUUCAAAGUGUAAUCUCAAAACACACAUGCGAGUGCAUACAGGAGAGAAACCAUUUGGCUGUGAUGACUGUGGGAAACGAUUUACCCAAAACGCAAAUCUCCUGAAACACAGGCUCAUCCACACAGGAGAGAAACCAUUUGUCUGUGAUAUAUGUGGUAAAAGAUUUAGUCAGAACUCAGCGCUCAAAACACACAUGACUGUCCACACAGGAGAGAAACCACUUAGCUGCUAUGUCUGUGGGAAAAGACUUGCUACAACCUCAAAUCUUAGAGCUCACCUGAGUGUCCAUACUGGAGAGAAACCAUUCAGCUGUGAGGUGUGUGGGAAAAGAUUUAAUAAAAGAGCAAAUCUUCGGGCACACAUAACACUCCACACAGGAAAGAAACCAUUUAGCUGCCAUAUCUGUGAUAAAAGAUUUACUCAAAGCUCUAUUCUCAGAAGACACAUGGAGGUCCACACAGGAGAAAGACCAUAUAACUGUGAGGUAUGUGGUCAAAGAUUUGCUACGACUGAAAACCUUGAGGAACAUAUGAACACCCACAUCAAACCAACAGACUGUGACAUUUGUGGUAAAAUGUUUACUAAAACGGCAAAUCUUCUGGCACACAUGAGCACUCACACAGGGGAAAAACCCUUUGGUUGUGAUAUUUGUGGUAAAAGAUUUACUCAGAAUUCAACUCUCAGGAGGCAUAUGAAUGUCCACACAGGAGAGAAACUGUUUGGUUGCAGUGUGUGUGGUAAAACGUUUACUCAAAACUCAACCCUCAGGCGACACAUGAGUGUCCACCCAGGGGAAAAGCAAUUUAGCUGUGAUCUUUGUGGUCAAAAAUUUGUCUCAACAGCAGAUCUCAAAGCACACAUUAGUACCCAUGGAAAAAAACCAUACAGCUGCGAUGAUUGUGGCAAAAGAUUUAUUCGAAUCUCAAACAUGAAGAAACACUUGUGCAUCCAAACAACAAAACUGUCAGUUUCAUGAUCAGGAUGCUGUUCAUCUCUUUAUUUAACAUAAGAUUUGGAUACAUCAUCAGCCUUAUUUGAUCACUUGGGGAUGGUUUGUUUCAAGUUUUUAUGUACAAAAUAUAUUGAUUACUUAUUCCCACUAAUGUGAAGAAAAUAAGCUUAUUUGAGUUGAUGUAAUUUGUAUAUAAGAGAAAUGUCACAAAACAAACAGUAUUUGACCAAGAAGAUAAUCACCUCCUGCUGCCAAGACUCCUCUUAAACUUUUUUCUUAACACUCCAUAAAUUAAUUUUAAUUUGACUUUGUCUUCUCAUAGAAUCUAAGUCACUUCAUUCAUCAAAUAAAAUUGUCCCCACUGAAAAACAGGUAUUAUACUGAAUUUGUGGAUAAAAGUCAAUGACCUAGUGAUUAGACCUGGGUCCCUGAGUAAGAUCUGUAGCUUUAGAAUGGCCCCAAGGGGGCGCACAGUGGCAGCCCACUGCUUCCUGAGAGAUGGGUUAUAUGCAGAGGAUAGAUUUUAUUGACAUGUGCAAAGUUUCAAUGACAAAUAAGAAUAAAGAUGGUUAUUAUAUAGAUUAUUAGAAAAAGGGGAUCACAUCAAAGUACUUAAACAGUGAAACAGUCUCCUGGAUUCAAACAAAUAAAGCAAAUCCUCCAGAGCACUUUUUCUUAGCUUUUAUUAAAAGGAAAACUUUAACAGUAAAAAUACUUGGCUGUAUACACUCCAAUGUAUCUGCAUUGCCUUGAUUUCUGAAUUGAGAGCUGUAGAAUGCUGAUUUUAGAUUUCAUUAAUAUAAAGGAUGUGGCUACUGUUACAAUCUGAAAUACUUAAGCCCCGCCACCUCGAAAGCCUCAGUAGUGUUGUGAAUGAAGUGCAAUAGCAAAAAACGUUUAGUUUUUUUCUUUCUUUUUAAUGUGGCCUGUCUGGCAGUGUAGCACUAAGAACUGCUUUCUUAGUGCCAAAGAGAGACCAACAAAUUUAGUUACACAAGUGGAACAUUACAUAGCAUUCAAUGGACACAGAUAAAAGAGGAAGAGAGAAAGAUGAGGCAAAACAUUAAAAGGGACAAAUGGGGACAAAAUAGAGCAGAGGAAAAAGAGGGUGCAAGAUUACAUCCUUGGAGUGUGUAACAAAUGGUACAUUUGCAGGAAACGCCAAGAUUUUACAUUUCCAAAUGUUUUCCAGAGCGUUCUCCUUGUCUUGAUCCCGCCAACAAUGUUUUUACAGCAAUCUCUUUGUUAUUCUCCUCUCAUUUUCGUCGUUUCAAUUAUUGCUGCCUUAAUAUUCCUUAAGUAAAGCAAUACUUCUGUGAAUUUACUUUUUAAAACUGUUUAGCAAUUAAAGUUAAAAACCACUGCUGUGGUGCACCAUGUCUUUGAAUGGACUUGUGUCAUUGUAUGCAUCAGUGGAAUUAAAGGAGAUUUAUAACUUGACCAAAAGACUGAAUUCAUCCCGACUUUUAUUGUAUAUAAUUCAGGAGGUGCAACGCAGUUUCUUUACAUUCAGAUCAAUAGGAUUCUGUUUUCGCUGUGUGCUUGACAUUUUCCUCUCUUCCAUUUUCACGCCUGUUUUGAAAUUAACGGUAAAACUGUGACCUAUUUACUGACUUUGACUUUAUGCAAAACUUCUGUUCUGUUGAUGCUAAAUGUGUAUAUUAUUGGAAUUGCUUAUUGAAAAAAAAUAGAUGUUGUUUAAGCCCAAUAAUGUUUCUAAAGCCCAUACUGAUCUGGGUCCUUUAUCAGAUUAUUUAACUCAGACAGCAACAAACCUGGAUGUGAGACUGGAUGAUUUUAAACUUGAUGCACAGAUUAAACCUGUAAUCAAGUCCAGCUGUUAUCAUUUGAGACAGUUGGCUAAAGUUAAACCUUUUAAUUCACGGCAUCAUCAUGAGAUUUUAAUUCGUGCUUUUCUUACGACUCAUUUAGAUUACUGUAAUGGUCUUUAUGUUGGGCUGAGCCAGUCUUUAAUUAACCGACUUCAGCUUGUUCAAAACACUGCUGCACUAAACUCAUACAGAGAAACAAGGACAUAUCACUCCUGUUGUGGCAUCACUUCAUUGGCUUUAAGUUCGAUUCCGAAUAGAUUUUAAAGUUAUUUUAGUUGUUUUUAAGUGUUUGCAUGGUCUUGCCCCUUAGUAACUGUCCCACCUGAGUCAAAUGUAUGCUCCCUCACCGCUUACUCAGGUCGGCAGAUCAGCCACCUGAGGAAGAUGAGAGGUGUGCAAGCAUUUUCAGUCACUGCCCUCAAACUGUGGAAUAAGCUGCCUCUGCAAAUCAGACAGGCUAAUUCACUUGCUGUUUUUAAAUCUUCUCCUAAAACACAUUAUUUUUCCUUGGCUCAGUUAGAGAAAUUGUCUUUUAUUUUUAUUAUAUAUUUUCAUUUUAUUGUUUUUAAUCUAUUAUUAUUAGUUUUAUAUUUCUGUAUUUUAUUUGUUUUUCUUGGUAUACAACAACGGUGUUGUACUGUAUUGUAAAACUCGAUAUCACUUUACAACAGGCCCAGUGUCUGUGGGUGGAAUAAUGAAGCAAUAGUCCAGGUGGUAUGCAAAUUUAUAUUUCAAACUACCUAAACUCUAAAAGUAUAAACUAGCUCAAAUAAAUUUUUAUCUUGGAUGGAAUAUAUAAUCAAUUGUCACAGUAUUGCACUGACUGAGUUUAGCCAAUGGGUUUCUCUUCUAUUUGACACGUUUCAAUUUGAUUUUUGUUGCAAAGUUUCUGUCAUUCAUGUGAAUCUGUGUUAGUUAUCAAAGAAUGGGUUCUAAAAUUUUGACUACACUUCUAAUCUGGGUCACACAAGGUUGUUAUUUGUCUCUAAAAUCUUAGAUUGCAUAGAUCCCAAGCUACAACAUUGUCUUGUACGGUCUUUUAACCCAUUCAUUUAAGUCACGUGUGUGGCAGCUGGGAUGAUAACUAACGUGCAGUACAGUGGGUCCCCAUGAACCACAAGUGAGAACCAUUAGUUUAAUCUUUAUAUUUGUUUUUUUAAGUGUUCUUUACCUCUGUUCCUACAUUUGACAAUAAAACCUCAUUAUUUAUCACGUGUAUUAAUUGUGCUGAUCAAAUAAACUUGCAUUGCCUUCUGCAAACAUGUUACUGUGAUGUGAUGAAUUUCACAGCUUGAUCCAAACCUUCAGGUUCUGAACUGUUCAGAGCAGAAGGUGUGGAGCUGCAGGGCUGCAGGUGAACAUGAUGAGGGUAAUUAGAGCAGCUGAGGCGCUGAUAUAAAGUCAGCUGCAGCCACAGAGCAGUUACAGCCCAAAGCUUUUCUCUUUCAGUGCUCAGCCUGGUCCACUUCUGUUGCCAUCUCAGACGUCAACAUGGUUCUUCAGGGUGGUUUCAAGAGCUCCUGGAUUUGCUUGCUGCUCUUCAGCAUUGCAGCUUGUGCUCCUGCA